rnacentral:tRNA from 2 species
UGGGCUGUAGCCAAGCGGUAAGGCAACGGACUUUGACUCCGUCAUUCGCAGGUUCGAAUCCUGCCAGCCCAGCCA